rnacentral:lncRNA from 1 species
AGCGAGUACCUGAAACUCGCGUACUUUCUCUACCUGUCUGAAACGUGUUAUCCUAAUUAUUUUCCAAGUGAUUAAUCUAAUUGGAAUUUAAAAAAUUAGGUGAAUUAAUGAAUUUUUUUUCAUAGGGCAUGGCUCAAAUAUUGAAUGCUGGUGUUGCAAUGAUGGAGGUGUUAAAGGGGGAAAUUGUGGUGUUGGUACUAGCAUUUAUUGAGAUUUACCAUUAGAGAAAAUCAUAGAUGGAUAUUUCAUAUCAUAUCAUAUCAUAUAAUUAAUAUUUUUUUUUUUUAGAUUUGUUUUUUUGUAUUAAAAAAAUGUGAUAAAAGUUGGGUUGGAUGUUGUUUAAGAAAUGUUCCUUGACAUGAUUUUCAAAAUUUGUCACUUUUAUUAGGUAAUAAUUAUGCUAGCAAUUAAAUUAAUUUUUUAAUUUCAUUCUUUCCUUUUCUUGCCCCAAAAAAUAUGGUAUUGCCUUUCUUAAUUUAAUGUCUUCUUCAUGGUCAAAGAUGUUGUUUCAUUUUCCUUCCUAUGGUUAGGGUUGAGAUUUUUAUGAUGUUCAUUCUAAAUUUCGAGUUAAAAUUGUUUGAAAUUACUCAAACUAAUUAACGAAAUAACGGUCAGGGUUAUAUUGUAUAUUAUGAAAUCUUUGGGUUUUGACAUAUAUUCAAUGUGUAUCGAUGUGUUUAUUCUUAAUUUUGUCAAAAUAAGCUCGAUAUUUGUCUAAUUAUUUUAAACCAAUAAGUGCUCUAAGUUGAUUAAUAUUGUCAUGUUAUAUUGUGUCAUUUUCUAUAAAUUAUGCAUCGAGAUUUUUGUCUUAGGACUUAAGAAAAGUGAUGAACAAAUUAAUAAAGUUAACUAAUACCGUUAAAGUGUGACAUUUAUUAGUAUUCACACGUCCCAUAAAGUCUAAUACGCUCCCUUUCUAGUUUGGCCAAAAUGAGUUCAACGGGUAUUAUUCUAUUUGUUUGACAAGGAGAUUAAUAGGUAGAGAUUAAUCAUUUUAUCUUAUUAAAUUACACCAUAUACAUAAGCAUCAAAUUGACUAAUUAAGGUUCUUUGACAACUUAAGUGCCAACCGUUACAAUAACUAAAUCAAUUAUCAUAGUUACAUUGUAAAGUCAAAUAGUGUUUCACAAAUGAUCUAUAUAAAACAAUAUGCUUUCACCUUACUUCGUUGAAACCGAUUCAAUAUGCGUCAAUACCUUGCAAAAAUCGACUAGUAUGGUGUUUAUUUUUUUAACUUAAUGUUGAAUAUAAUUUGUUUUUAGAUUUUAGACACUUAUUUUAAUUUUAUUUAUUUUUACUUAUUACUCAUUUUAAAAAAGAAUGUUUUAACUCAAUAGAAAAUGUCAAAAUAUUCGACUUUUUGUUGAAUAUCAAUUUCUUUAAAACAAUUAAAGCAUAAUCUCAAUAUUACCCUCAUUAUAUUAUACACUUAAUACUUUAUAUAAACAAAAUAAUAAAAAUCAAUAAACAACUUGAUAUUAUUAAUUUAUACUUAAAAUUAAAUUAAGUUUUAUUUAGAUUCAAGUGACUACAUUUCAUUAAAGCAAGAGAAAGAAUUUAAAUCAAUUAAACUUAUAUAUAUUAGGUUAUAUGGUUCCUUUAUGAAGGUCAAAUCAAAAUUCUUUUGUAUGUCCUUGUAAAAAGUCAAUUACCAUAGUAGUGGGGGAUAAAGACUCACUUAUAGCGUAAAUUUUGCUCCAUGUGACAUAUGUCCCAUAGACACUAUUGUCCAAUCUUCUGGACGUUGGUUAACGGUCUUAAUCUAUAUCAUCUUAUCAAAUCUAUAGUGAAUAAUUGAUACCAAUCAUAUCAAUAUGUUUUUUUUAUCCUAUGAUUUUUAUUUUUAAAAAGUUAUUUAACAUAAGAAAAAAAAAUGAUCACCACAUUAAAUGGAGUGGCCGCCAUCAUUAGAUGGUAAUCCAUGAUGAUAAGAAUGUGUCCCAUGGUCUACCUCGUGAACUAAUCAAACAUUCACCUGUGUCAUUAUGUGCUAAGUAAACCUUUGACCUUGAACUUCUAGAAGUUGAUUUUCCCGAACAAUUCAAGAUUUUGCAAGAAAAAAAUUAUACCCUUUUCUUAUAAAUAACAUGUAUCGAGAUGCCCUCAUCAUCUAAAUCUGUACGAAGAAUACCGAUAAUAGAGAUGAAGACCAUAUUUGAUAAAUAUUUUUGAAAAAAAAAAUAAUUCUAAUCAAUUUUAAAAAUUUAACUAACCAAUUAACUGCUUUCAAAUGUAGCAACAUCCCCCCAUAAAAAUAUCCUAAAAAGAAAAAAAGAAAAAAAAUGGAAAAGGAACUGCAGCAUAACCUCAAAGUGAGGUUUACACCAAGGGGAGGCCCAACUGAGGGCAGGGAGGUAGGUCAUCCACUGAAGACCAGACUCAAGUUGUGUACUUUGACACUCAAAUUAUAAUUUUAAAGAAUCCAUUUAAAAAAUAAAGCAUGUAAAAAAUAUAUAUUAUUUUAUAUUAAUUAAAACCAAGCAUUUUGGUCUACAAUUUAUAUAUAUAUUUUAAUUUUAAUAAAAUAAUUUCAACCAAUCUUAUUAAUUAAAAAUAUCAAUCAAACCAAGCAUUUUGGUCUACAAUUUAUAUAUAUAUAUAUAUUUUUUAAUUUUAAUAAAAUAAUUUCAACCAACCUUAUUAAUUAAAAAUAUCAAUCAAAACCAAGCAUUUUGGUCUACAAUUUAUAUAUAUUUUUUAAUUUUAAUAAAAUAAGUUCAACCAACUUUAUUAGAAGUACAUUUAAUGUUGAUUCUUUCCUUGGCUGCUUUGCUCUCAUUCUUACCAAUUCUUCAUUGAAACCAUGCCUAUUUUGUGAUCCACUUUUCAGUAUUUUAUAGGGUUAUAUUUAUUAAAUUUUAUUUUAAAUUGACACGUUGUCAGCCUACAUGGAAUUUAGGAAAAAAAUUUAUUGGGAGAAUAGGUAAAUUUAGUGAAAAAUGAUUGUGAGAAAAGAGAAAAGAAUUUGAGUUGAAAUUCAUAUUUAAAAGAAAACAUUAUAAAAAUAUAGAUUGGCUUUUUAUUUUAUUUUUGCAAUGAGGCUGUAAAUUGAAAUUUUAGGUUUUUAAAAGAUUAAUAGAAAAAAUAAGUUUUUUAUUAUUAUUAAAAACACUUACCAAAUUUGAUGAGAAAUAUAAAAGAGGAAGAAAAUUUGAUGAGAAAUUUUUUAUUAAAUAUUCCUAAAAGGUGUUUUCCCUUAAUUUGCUAAAAGUAAAUUCUUUAAAUUUUUAAAAGAAAAAAGGGAGAAAAAAAAGGGUUAGAUUUUUCCAAAUAAUUUAAAAUUUCUUUCUUAAAUUUAAUAAAAAAUAUACUUGUUUAACUAAUUUGUUGAAAAAAAAAUUAUAAUUUAAGAAAUAAUUUAGUAUAAAAGUCAAGAAAAUAUUUAUUUUUUAUAAUUUUUUUAAUUAUAUAAUUUUUUUUAUAUUUAGUAAUAAUUAUCAUUUAUGGUACAAAUAUUAUCCUUUAUAUUAAUCCCUUUUACUUUCUGUAAAAAUUAUGAUUUUGACUUUAAUUUUUAUUUUUAAUUAAAGUUAAAAUUAAAAUGUUAAUACAAACAUACUCUGAUUUAUAAAAGAAAAAAAAUUUUAAACUGCGUUGGCACAUAGCAAGUAAAUUAGUAAUCAUGUAGAAACUAAUUAUUAAUAUUAUUAUUAUUAUAUUUUUAUUUUUUAAAGGGAAGGGUGAGAAAUAAGAAAAAAAAUAAUUGUGAAAUAAUAAUAAUAAUAAUAGUGCAGACUGAGAGUGCAAUCAAGUGAAGAAGUUGUAUAGUGGGAGUGAGAGUGGGAGUCAAAAGAGGUAUUGAUGGGUCAAAACUGUUGAUACUGUCUGAAUCACUGGAUCUUCAUGUCACACCCACAGCAAUGAUGACAAACACCUAACCUAUUAAUAUAAAAGACACACCAAAUGUUUCUCUCCCUCUCCCUCUCCCAACAACUCUCCCUUCAAUAUUUCUAUUUGAUUCUGUGGAGACAAUGAUAGGGACUUACUAUUUCAUAACAUCGUUUUUUUUUUUUUUUAUCAUCACAUAUAAUAUGCCCCAAUUCCAUAAUUCCAUGACCAAAUUUAGAUUCUCUAUUUUUUGUUUUUCUUAGCAUUUUGUUAUUAUUUUCUCUCCAAAACAUUGGAAAACAACAAUUAUCAUUCCAACCUACAAUUAGUUUAAAUAAAUAGUAUAAAAUUAUAUUAAGGUGUAAAAAGUAUGAUUUGAUUGAUUCAUCGAAAAAUAAUUAAGAUGGAUUUAUGGUUGAAUUUAAACCGAAAUUGUUUUAAACUUAAAUAUAAUUUCUUUUUAAAAAUAAUUAAAAUUAACUUGGAUUUAAAGUUUAAGAUAUAUUUAAACUUUUUAACCCGGGAUAUGAUGAAUGUAUUUAAAAAGUGGUUUGAUUAUAGUCUUAUAAGUAAUUAGAAUGAAUUAUUUUAAUAGAAUUAAUAAAAUAUGUAAAUAAAUAUAAAAAAAUUAUAAAACAUUAAAUAAUUAUAGAUGAUAAAAGAUACAUUUUUUAAAACGUUUGGUUUGAUUUUGUUUGAUUAAUAUUAUAUUAACAAAAUAAAAAAUCGAACCUAUAAAAAGAUUAUCAAAUAUUGAAUAAUUAUAAAUCAAGGUAUUUUUAUAAUGAUGGUUUGAUUUAGUUUUACUAAUCAAGGGAUAAGGAAACCAAAAUUCAACCCAAUAAUUUAUAUAUGUUCUCAAAUUUAUAAAUAAAAAAAAAGCCUAUUAAGAUUUUUUUUUAAAUUAAAAAUUAAAAAAUCAGUGAUUUUUAUAUUUCAAACAAAAGAAAAAAGGAAAAGCAACGUUUCAGUGGACAAAAAAGAAGGGGAAGACUUGCGAGCCAUGAGCUGAAAUUGGGGUGAUGUGGCCUGCGUUGAAGCGCGUUAUCUGAUGAUGUGGCCCCUGAUGUGGACUGACUCAGUCCGCGUUAGAUAUUUUGUAUGUUGACUGACUCGGUCAACCACCAAUUUGUGCUUAUGUGUACCACUUACAUGUCUAACCUGCCAUGUCAUCAUUUGUCAUGCUCAAUGCACCAUGGGCCAUUCCUCUUCUCAACUCCUCCAACUCCUCUUCCACAAAAAUAAAAAUGAAAAAUAUUCUUAAAAAUAAAAAAUAUUUUUGAAACCUAAAAAUACGUUUGAUCAUAUAUAUACUUAUAUUUAUAAUUUGUUAUUAUUAGAGUUGGCUUUAGGUACUUAAGUGGGUUGACUCAAUCCGGACCCAAUACCCAAUAGAAAAGAAAAUGGGAGGAGAUCUUUACGAAUAUUUCUACAAUUUAAAAAAAAAAAAAAUUUCUUUUCUUUUUCUCUCUCAGAGAAUAUCUUGUAACAAGAAAAAAAAAAUUAUAAGAGAAUAAAUUUUUUUUCUUACCAUCUCUCCCCUUAGAGAGAGAGAAGACAAUAUAAAUUUCUUUUAUUUAUUUAUUUAUUUUUAUUGAGAAAGCUAAAAUAAGUUAAAGUAUUGUUGUGGAAAAAAAUGGCUUUCCUAUUUAUAGUUUCAUUCAUGGCUUGAAUAUAGAAAAUUGAUCAAUGAAACAAUCAAUUCAGAUUUCUUGUGAUUUUAGAAAGUAAUUUAAAAGUCUUAUUUUAUUUAGAAAAUAAGAUAUUUUAUAAUAAUAUUUUUAUUAAUUUAAAAAAAUAUUUGGAAUAUUAGUGGAAAAUAAAACAAUAUAAAUUUAAUUUAUUUAUUUAUUUUCAAAAAUAUUACCAAAAGUUAAUGGGAAAGAAAGGGAGAAACAAUAGGUUCCUUAUGAUUUAAGAUUUUUUUUCUUUCAUAGGUAAAAAUAAUUGAAAGAGAGGCCAAAGGUAGAAACAAACCACUCCCUUUCUAUUAUAGUCCUCAUUUAUGCCCCGAAUUUGGGGUUUGAAAAGUACAUGCACAAAAAAAAUAAAAAAAUAAAAAAAAUCUUAGGUCCCUACCCAAGGUCAACGUUUACCAAAAAUGAGCUCAGAAUCUACAUUGGAAUCUCCUUUUGCCAAAUCGAGUGACCUAAAAGUUGCCACGUUAGCACAUAGCCUCCAAAACAGCUAUGAGUGGUUGAUUACUUUCUCAAAAUUUGAACGUUACUUUCAUAAGCUUCAUUUAAAAAGCUAAUCAAAACAAUUCAAUCAAUACACAAACUUCCACAAAAACCAUGGUACGUGGCUGUCACGUGUACACCUACUUUUUCAAAUUAUUUAUUCUAUACAACGUUAUAAUUUGUAUGGUUUUUAAAAUAAAUUAAUAAAUAUUUAUAUAUUAUGACCUGUCAAAUAGUUAAUUCAAAUAUUAAGAGCUUAUCUCUUGCUUUAAAUAAUAAUUCAAGCUCAUUACUACUUAUUUUUCUUCCCUUUAAUAUUUCUUUUUUGUAGUUGAUUUUCCUUUUAAUCUUGAUUUUUUUUAUAAAAAAAAUAUUAUAUACGUUACUUUUGAUUUUCCUUGCCCCUUGGUUUAGGGCGAGUUGUUCCACCUUAAUUCAAUAAGAAAUUCAAAUAGAAUGAGACAUGACAUGUGUGAUAAUUUUUCGUGUUUAUCUGUUCUUGUUCAUUCUAAUUAUAAAAUUUUUAAAAUUAUAUUAUAUGCAUUGCUUUAAGUAAUAAUUCAAGCUCAUUAUUACUUAUUUUUCUUCUCUUGAAUAUUUUUUAUUUUGUAGUUGAUUUUUUUUUAAAAAAAUAUUAUAUGCGUUACUUUUGGUUUUCCUUGCCCCUUGGUUUAAGGCGAGUUGUUCCCAUCUUAAUCCAAGAAAAAAAUUCAAAUAUAAUGAGACAUGACAUGUGUGAUAAUUUCUCGUGUUUAGUCAAUUUUGUUUAGUCUAAUUAUAAAAUUUUAAAAUUAUAUUAAAAACAAUUAAAUUUUUAAAAUUUUAUAACAUAUUUUAUUUAAUAAGUAUUAUUUUCAUUAUUUGAUAUAGGAUCCAAAUUUUAAAAAACAUCUUAAAUUCCUAAUUUAUUUAUUUUAUAUGUGGAUAGAUAGACAAACAAAUGAAGAUAACAUUUUUUUUACUUACAAAUAUACAAAUUAGGGAUAAAUAUGAAAAGACAAAUCAAAUUAAUUUUUUUUAUAAAUUUGAUAUCCCGAUACUUAAGCUUAAUAUGCAUAUCAUUCUAUUGUAAUCAUUAGGCAGAAAUAUCACUUGUGCUGAAAUCUGAAAUGAUUGAAGAAUAACUUAACAAAGGAUACAAAACUCAUUACUUAAUGGUUACAUUGGGUAGAUACCAUCAUAGUAGUGGGUAGUAUACAAACAAGUCAUAAUCAAGUGUAAAGGGCAAAACCCAUUAGAGGAAAAGGCAGGGGGGCAGAGCAUGUUAUGAAUGCUUAAUCCAAAGUAAAGAAAGGUUGGUUUGCAUGAUGAAGCUUGAAAACCCCCAUCAUCCACCCCCCACCAAAACCCAUUAAAGAGAGAUUUAUGAUAACUCCAUACCAUAACUAAGACACACUCCUACCACCACCACCACCACCACCAUCCCCACAAAAAACUGUCAUCAUGUUCUCCACUUAAGCCAUGUUGUUGCUACAGAUUAAUGGCUGUGACUCCCCAUUUGGGCCCCAUCUUAUUCGUACCAGGGAGGUGAAAGUUUUGAUUGAAUCUAUGUCAUGUGUCACCCCCAACUGCUCCACUCUUUAGUCAACAAAUGAGCCUUAUUCUUUAUAUAUACUUGAAGCAUAAAAAACAAACCAACUCCAAUUAUUGCAGAUGGUCGAGCCCAAAAUGAGAAGUACUACUCAUCAAAUACUCUUCUACGUUAUUAUUAUCAUUAUGGAUUUAUCUAGCUACAACAUCAAAUGUUACCCUAUUUCUUUUCCUUUUUUGACUUUUUUAUUUUUUAUUAAUCUAUUGAAAACACUUAUGUUAUCAUUUAUAUAUUUUCAAAUCACAUUAUUUAUACAUUAUUCUCAUUUAUUUGUAUAUUUAUAUCUUUAUUUUAUUUGUUCAUAUUUUGAUUUAACAGUCUAAAUUUGAUCAUUUAUAAUAUUUUAUUUUAUAAAUGUUACUACAAUAUUAUACGAUAUUUUUUUUAUCUAUAAAAAUGACAUUAUUUACCAAUGAUAUUAUAUAUAUAUUUUUAGAUUAUGUUGUUGGUAUCUUAUUCCCAUUUAUUGGUACAUUUACGAUUUAAUCUCAUUCAUUUGUAUGUUUGAAUAUUUAAAUCAUAUUAAUUAUAUUAUAUUCAAAUUUAAAUCUUUUAUUCAUCGAUGCCAUUAAGAUAACUUAAUAUUUUAUUAUUAUUAUUAUUAUUAUUAUUAUUAUUUAUGUAACAAAGCACAUAGCACAUAGCACAUAGCACAUAGCACAUGCAAGUCAUGCCUCUUUGUAAUUUUUUUUUCUUUUUAAAUUUUUGUGUUUUUACAUGUAUUGCAAAUCCCAAGAGAAGGAUUAAAUAGAGGGGCCGUUUUCUUCAUCGCGUUGUCACUUUCAUGGCCUCUACCAAAGUGGAGCUGCACAAAAUUCAAAGCGUUAGGUUUGAUGAAGGAAGGAACAGGGUGUGUGAUGUCAUCAUUUUCAUGGAGAGAUAUAGCAUGUGCGGUGUGUGUGUGUUUCCUUUUUUGAAGUUUGCAAUCGUUUGGAUGAAAAAUAGAAAGGAAUAAAAGUAGGAAGAAAAAUGAAAAAUAAAAUUUAAAUUAAUAAAUUAUUUUUAUAUAUUAUUUUAAAUUUAUUUUAACUAUUUUAUAUAGAAAUUAAAUAAUUUUAUACAUUUUAAACUAAUAUUAAUCAUAUUUAAUCUUUUUUAUAUUUUUUAAUAAUAAAACUAAACAUAACAUAAAAAGCAAAAUUGUGAUAAGAAAUUAUUAAUUUUAUGAAAAAAAAUUAAAUAUAUAAUAAAAUAUCUUUUGAUUUAAUUAAAAUAUAGAUAAUUUAACAAAAAAAAAAAAAAGUUUUAGUAAUACCCAUAAGAGAAAGUUAAGAGUUUGUUUCGUAAUUAUUUUAAAAAAUAGUUUUUGAAAGCUGUUUUUUAUGUUUUACAGAAUAAAAGUUUAUUUGAAAACUUAAAAUAUUUUUAACAUAUUUUUUAAUAUUUAAAAGAAAUUAUAUUUAAUAUUUUAUUUUUAAUUAUUCCAUAUUUUUAUAUAAUUAUUUUUCAAAAAGUCAUUAAAAACAAUUUUUAGUUAUCAUAAUUGUUUUCCUAAUUUUGUUUUUUAGACAACUGAAAACUAUUUUUAAAAACGAUUCCAAAUGAGCCUUAACAAAUAAUUUUUCAUGUCACAUUAUUAUUAUUAUUAUUAUUAUUAUUAUUAUUAUUAUUAUUAUUAUUAUUCCGAUGAAACUUUCUUCCUCUCGAAGUCUUUAACAAGAAAGCUUCCAAAGUCAAAUGAAAAUUAAAGAAAUAAAAAAAAGAAAACAUCUUCUCACCAGAAAACAGACACUAAAAAAGUGGGUUGGCGCAGUAAUUUGUGAAAGGGUCCUAGCAAAAUAAAAUAUUGACAUUAUUUUUAUUUUUAUUUUUAUUUUUGUUUUAUUUUAUCUAUAAAGAAAUAUUAGCAAUGGCAUAGAGGAUGAGUUGACAACAAAUGAAUGAUAUGAGACUAAGUAUGAUUUUAUUUUAUAUAUCUAACCUAAAAACAACUAUAAAAAAAAUUAAUAGAAAAUAUAUUCUCCAAGUCAAUUUCACAUAAUUUUAAUUUUUCUCUGCAGAUAUUGAAAAUUUUGAGCAUACUUGUAAUGAUAGAGAACAACAAAAGUGUUAGAAAAUGGUCAAAUCAUUAGGUUUUCAAAGCCCAUCAAAACUUUGAAUUUUCAAACAUUCCAACUACAAACAUAGAUUUUAUUAUUAACUUAUGUAAGGUUUAUUGCGUUGAGUUUUGAACAAGCAAACUUUUAUAUAUAUAGAUAGUACGACAACAUUUUAGAUGUUUUUAUGUGAUUAUUGUCAUAGGGUUCGGUUUUUUCUAAGCUUAUGUCCGAUAUUUAGGCAAGUUAAGAUACUUGAUAUUAUUAAGUUAGCAUUUUCCUUAAACUUAGCUACCUAGGCUAAGUUAGGUAUUAUGCUUCAUAAGGAAGAAUCAUUUAGACUAGGGUGUGACACUAUGGAACCUUAGUAUAAAAGGAAAUGUCUCGUGUUAAGUAUUAACUUUGCGAGUUUUCUACUAGUAUAUUAAACUUAUGCCAUAAGAAAUAGGAUUUAUUUUGUACUUUUAUUAUUGUCACAUAAGGUUGAAUGUGUAUGUACAUUAUUACAUAUACAUCCUUCUUUGUAAAGAUUUAGCAUAUGAGAUCCUAAAGUUACAAUUAUUACAACUUUUUGGACUUUUUUUUGUGCCUAUGGUACCUUAAUUUAUAAGGAAAUAUCUCACAUUAAGUAUUAAAUUUGCAACUUAUAUGUGUAUUGGGUGUCAUUUUCUUAAUCUAGGUUCUAUGGUAUUCAUUAUUGGGUGUCAAAUUCAACUUUGAAUUCGAGUUAUUGAUAUGACUUAAAUAAAAAUAUAAAAAAAUAAAACUUAAAUGUGAAUAAAUGUGACAAGGUACCAAAAAUUAGGAAAAAAAAAACUUAUUUUAAAGGUAUAAAGAAAUCGAUGGAUUGAGUGUCGACUUUUCAGUAUGACAAUAAAAAGCAUAGUUUUUCUUAUACCUCAGAAAUUAUUCGGAACUUAUCCGUUAAUUAAUUUAAAUUAAGUAACACGUGGAAAGAUAUAAUAGAAUUACAAAUAAGGGGAGAUAUAACAAAUGAGGAAAGACCUCUUGAAAUUCUAAUAUGAUGUUAAAUUAUUAAUUUUCCUAAAAGUUUAAGCUUAUAAGAUUUAAGUUUGCUAUACAUAUCACACUUGUAAACAGACUCUACUUUUAUUUUUCAUUUUUUCUCGAGUUCACAUGCUCCGGAGGGAUUCCUUCUAUAUUUAGAAGGAAUGAAAUGAAGUGCCCGUCGAUUGGGCUUAUGGGCUUGCAAUAGAAACUAGGUGGCCAGGAUUUGGGCUUCACUGUCUUCUAAAGUCCAUACAGUUUGUUCCUAAAUUGGAGGCAUUGGGCCCUACCCUAACGGACAUUUGGUCCUCUGCUGGCGCAAUAGCCAACUGUCCUUAAUGGUUGGCUGGAGUGCCUUACAAAGGAAAAGAAAAUGAGAUAAAAGUUUGGGAUCUGGGCCCACCAAGCCCACCACAACCACCUUUCUUUAGCGUGGGAAUUCAUAAAGAGAAGACCAGUGGACUUGAUUCGGUGGGUCUCAACAGGCCCAUUAAUACCUAUAAAGCGAGUUUACCUUCAUUGUUGGAAUAUGAUAGAUUUUCUAAAAAUAAUAAGUCUAGCAUUUAUAAAAUUUUGGAUAUCGUCAAAUAGGGUAUGUUUGGCAAUUGUUUUGAAGAAUAGUUUUCUAUUUUAUAGAAUAAAAAAAGGGAAAACAUGUUUGACAAUUUAAAAAUUGUUUUAUGUUUUUUAUUAUUAAAAACAAAAAAUAUGAUGUUUUAAAAAAAAAAUAUUUUCUUGGUUUUUUUAAUUAUUUUCUUAGAAAUGUUUAAAAAAAUAAUUAUAUAAAUAAUAAUUAAAAAUAAAGCAAUAGAUAUAAAAUUACUUUUAAAAGAUAUUUAAAAAUAUUAAAAAAAGAUUAAAAACAUUUCAAGUUGUCCAACAGACUUUUAUUUUAGAAAUUAUAAGAGAAUAGUUUUCAAAAACUAUUUUUGAAAACAAUUACUAAACGGGUCAUAGUUUUUUUAGAGUGUAUUUGACACCUAAAAUUAGUAAUUGAAAUGAAAGUAAAUCACAAUAUGAUAUGAAAAACAAAGUUUAGAGAGGCGAAAACACAUGUCUUGUGAAAUCAUUGCAUUUUCUGAUCUAUUUCCCUUAUAGGAUUUAUCUAUAAGAAGGAUGAAAUGAAUAAUUAAAAGUAGUAUUAAAACUAAAAAAAUUAAAAUUAUAAUGUAAAUAUCAAAAUAUUAGUUUUUUGAGACACAAUAAAAAAUAUAUAUAUAUAAAUAAAAUAUUGGUUUCCUAUUGAAGAUUCAUCAUUCCUAUUGAAAAAAUGAGAGAAUUUUCAUGCCCAGGACAUGGAAGAGAAGCCCAGCAUCUCUGACACCUUUACAAGCCCAAGGCAAUUGGGGCCCUGGCCCAUGAGUAACCCGAGUUCUUGGUCCAACCUGAAAAGCAGUUGCAGGUUUGUAGCCGAAGUACUGUUCACAGUGGAGCCCAUUAGUGAAGCCCAAGAAGCAAUAAUAUAAUGGGCCUUUGUAUUUAAGUGUUGGUCCGUACUGAAAUUUAAGGUAUUAUAUAAAACUAUAUUAUUGUCACUAUACUAUCUAAGUUCAUGACUAUAAGUAAAAAUACAUAUAUAAAUUAUUAAGAGCUUAUUUUUAAAAGAAAAAGUUCUUGUGGUUAAAGCUAUGUUUGGUUUCUAAAAAUUUUUGAGAGAAAAUGUGAGAGAAAUAAAAUAAAAAGAAAAAAUAAAAGAAAAUAAAAGACGAAGAAAAAUAAAAAAAAUAGGGAAAUCAAACACAAGAAAACCAUUUUUCUUAGUUUAUUUUUUCUUAAUACUUUUUGAGAACCAAAUAUAAUCUCGAAUAAAAACUUUAAUUAUGUUAAAGAAAAGUAAAAUAUGUAUUAUUUGAUUAUUUAAUAUUUAGCAAUAAAUGAAAUUGAAACCAUUAAUAAAUAGUCAUGACUUAAUAAGAAUUCAACAUUUUAAUUAUAUUCCUAUGUAUAAAUAGUUGUGUCAUUACCUAGAAUUUAAAUCUCAAUUAAGGUAAUUUAAUGGAAAUUAAGUUUUUGAACUACAAAUUUUUAAUUUUACUUUUUUCAACCAAUAUAGAAUAAUGAACAAAAAUCUACGUUGAAAAGAGGUGGAAGGAAAAGAAGAGAGUAAGGAAAGGUAUGGAAAAACUAAUGGAUAUAUAUAUAUUUUAAAUAAAGAUGUUAUAUAAUUUUUAGUUUUUGUUUAUAAGAGUGUUUCGUAAAUUAAUUUAACGAAGUAAUAUGACUUAAUAACUUAAUUUAAGCUAUUAAGUAUAUUAAUUAUAUUUGAUAAAAUAACUUAAUAUUAUCAAUUAAAGUUAUUUUAAAUUUUAAAUUUUAAAUUUUAAGCCAAAAUAGACAACUUUUCUUAAUCUUAAAUCAUUUUUACUUCAUUUUUUUAUACUAAUGAGAAUAUAUUUUAAAAUUAUGAUUCCGACUUAUUUUUUAUAAUAAAUAUUUUAUAGUUAUCUUAUAUAUUUAUAAUACUUUAAAUAUAAAUAUUUUAUAAAUAAAUUUAUUACUUAAAAUUAAUAAAAACUAAAUAUGAGUUAAAAUCAAUAAGGAUGAAUACUAGUUAAAAUUAACGACGGUAAAUGUGUUAAUAUAAUGAUUUAGAAUAAAUUUUGAGUUAAUUUUACCAAAUAAUCUUAAUACUUAAAAUAAAAAAUAAUAAUUUAAUUUAAAAUUAAUUUAAAUUAUUAAAUAAUAAGUAUUGAGUUUUUUCAAAUACUCACUGAAUUUUAUUUUAUUUUAUAGUUACGACAAUACUGAGUAAUUUUAAAAGGAAAAUGUUAGAAUUUUAUAUCAAUUUAUAAUACAUGCUAUUAAGAUAUUAUGUACCAAGUCAUCUCAUAGUAGUUGAAAAUUAGGGGUCUUUUUUUUUUCUUUUUCUUUUUUAACUUGUGGUGAUUCAAAUCCUAAUUAGGUUUCAUUUGGAUUGGUAUUUGAGAACUUAAAAGCCCUAAAACUUAUUUACAGCUUUUGUGUAUGUUUAUAAACUUUUUUUUUUCUUUAAGGAAACUUACAACCUAAAAAACUUUAAGAUAAAAGUGAGAAAAUUAUUACUUCAUAUAGAAUUUUUAUUUUGACUUAAAUAAUGUCAAAUACAUUACUAUUUUAACCAACCACCCUUUGUUCAUCUAACAUUCCUCUACCUACCACUUUUUAGUUUUACUUUACAAAUUCACAUGACAACACAAUAUAGUAUCAAAUUGGUUAUGCUGUGAAUAUUUUGAAAAAAAAUAAAAAUGUUAUUCAAAGAUGAGUUUGAUAUAAGGGUCUCCAACGGGCGGGCCGGGCCGAGCUAAAAUGCUAGGCCCGCGGCCCGGCCUAUGAGCCCGCGGGCUAGCGGGCUGGCGGGCUGGGGGGCGGGCCAGGCCGGGCCGCGGGCUUUUUUAAAUAAGCCAAAAUGGCUUUUAAAUAAAGGAAGGAAGAGGGGGGGAUUCGAACCCCUCCCCUCAAGCUUAAAUUUCAAGGCUCUAACCAACUGAGCUACAUUUCUUUUGUGCUUAUUAAAUGAGUUAAUUAUAUAUAUAUAAAAAUAUAGUAUAUUAUUUUUUUUAAAAAAAUUAAAGGCGGGCCUACGGGCCGGGCCUAAGGGCGGGCCGACGGGCCAAGGCUACGGGCCGGGCCGGGCUUGGGCCCAGCGGGCUCGGGUCGGGCUUUAGCCCGUCGGGCCGGGCCGGGCCUAAAGCGGGCCGCGGGCUUUUUGGAGACCCCUAGUUUGAUAUCUAGUCAUUUAGCAUUGUUUCAAAAGAAAAAAAGUUUAGCUUUCUCCUCUAAAAAGUUUAGGUUUGACCUCUAAAGUGAAGGUUCAUAAUAUGACAAAGCAAGGAGAGGGGGAAUAAAGUCAACCUUGGCGACCUAAUCCAAUAAUGAUCUCUAAUUAAAUAUUAUUUUAAUGACUAUAUAUUUGAUUAUUACAUUUUGUAAAUAAAUUCUAUGACAAUUGUUUUUUCCAGAAGGAUGAUGCAAUUGUUGCUCUUAGAUUAUCUAGUUUAUAGAAGAUGACUACAACAAUUAGAAUCUUGUAGAUGGUACGUUUAUUGAUGUUAUGAAUUAUGAUAUGAGAAUAUGAGAAUAUGACAAUUGAGUCUCUAAAAGAUUAAGUAAAAUAAUCAUUACCAUUUAUGAAAAAUAAUAUUUGAGAUAAUCAACAAGGGGAGGUGUUGUUGCUUGACUAUUGUGAUAGGGAAGAAAGAUAAACCCUAUUUGAUUACUAUUUUCAAAUAUAAGAGUCAUUUAUAAACCAAUAGUCACAAUAGCCAUCAAUUGAGGAAGGUGUUUGCACUAGUUUACAAAAGAUGAUUGCAACGAUUAGAAUAUUGUAAAUGGUAUGCCUAUUUAUGCUAUGAAUGAGUAUAUAGGAACAUAAGAGAGCAUGUCAAUCGAGUAUUUGAAAAGAUUAUGUAAAAUAAUCAUCACUAUUUGUAAAAAAUAAUACUUGAGAUGAUCGCAUGAGGACCAUGUUGCUCGACUAUUAUGAGAAGGGGAGAAAUAUGAGCCUUGUUUGAUAACUGUUUACAAACAUAAGAAAGGUAUUUGUAAACCAAUAAUCACAAUAGUCAUCGAUAGAAAAGGGUGUUUGCUUGACUACCAUAACUAUUGGUUCACAAAAGACUAUUUCAUCAUUUUAAUCAAUCAAUUCAAUUAAAAACUCCAAUUUAAGUAUUGUACCGACCAACGUUAGUAUUUGAAUUUAUUACUUUUCAUAAUAAGAUAUCCACGAAUGAUCUUAUUUUCUAUUUUUAUAUAAAAGUGAUAUUAUUUUCUAGUUUUAAAAAUAAAAAUUUAAAAAUGGAAAAUAUAUUUAAGCCAUUACUAAAAAAAUUGAUCUUCAUAAAAAUCCACGUAAAAAAUUUAAAUAAUAUAAAAAAAUAAAAACUAUCAUAUUAUUUAUCCAAUAGUUACCUUACUUUCCAUUUCCCAUGAUAUCACAACUCUUCCCAACUUUAAAACUUAACCAAACACAAAUUAUUGAUACCAUAUAUUUUCUUCCUCAUUAUCAUUAAUCAUAUUCUAUCACAAUCUUUUAUUUUUUAAUUUUUCACAUUGCAAUACAUGGAAAAUAAGUAUUUUAAUUAUAUACUAUACCAAUAUAUUUCCUUACAUCUUUAUAACCUCCUAAAAUAUCUUUAAAUAUAAUUUACCCUUUAACCUUUACUGUGUUUUACAUUUUGCCCGUUUACGUUUCAAAACUUAACAUCUUGCUUCCUAAAUUUAUUAAACAUCAACAUUUAACCCCCAUAAAAUUAUAAAAGAAAUUGUUUUUGUUUUUUUGAAAAUUAUUUUAAAUUUAGAUAAAAUCAAUUUUAAAUUAAUAGUCUUGAAGUGAAAAUUUUUAAAUGUCUUUUAAAUAUGAUUGCCAAUUUUAAUUUUUAAUUUUAAAAAAUUAUUUGCAUGUAAAUUCAUUAUUUUCGUAUGUAACGCUUCAAACUCAAAUAAUCGAUGUUUUUCAAUACAUUUUAGUCUUAUUUUUUUAACUUCACUUGCCAUUUAUUGUUUUUCAAUAUAUUAUGAUUUUUUUUUAUUAUUGGAAUUAUUUGAAGAGGAUAUUUUAUUACUAGUAUCCAAGAGCGGAGUAGCUUAGCACGUGACGCACGUGACGUGCAGUGAUGUCGACGCAUAAAAAAUUAAAAGACGCGACGAGUGCGGCCACGCUUAUCGCCAUUCGAUUUUCUCUCUCUCAAUUUCUCAAAAGCCAGACUUGAUGAUGACUUGCAUCUUUUUAAGAUUCAAUGAAGGGCUUUACUGUAAUUUAACUCUGUUAGAUAUUUUCUCUUUGGGACCUGUAAAUAUCUCAAUCCUUUAAAGUCGGUCUAUCCAUCACGUGACGCUGGGCCCCAUCUUAACCCAACUUCCUCACACUUUCUCCUCUGUUUCUAACUGUGGUUCACCGCGCCGAAUCAUCUCGUAGACCGUAUGUUUGGUUACGCCUAUAACUUGAUUCCGCGUGCGCUUCUGCUUCACCUAACCACGGUCGGCAUAAUGGAGAACUCGAAAACCAGCUGACAUGGCUUAUUAUUUUUAUUUGAUUCCAUUAUCUUGUUUGCUACUUACAUGUCUAUAACAUCAAUGAAUUUUUUUAAGUGGUAAGUCUUUUUCGGGAUUAUUAUUUUGAAAACUUUCUUAAAAUGUAAGGAAAUAGUAAGAAUUGGUCGCUUCAAUCCAUAAAAAUAUGGCAAAUUGGAAUUUUGGCCGGGACAAGCUCUCACUCAUCACCAAACAUUCCAGAGCCCCGACCCAGUUUAACUCAAGUUACUGUAACGCUGACUGCACACGCGUACUAACUAACCGUAGUUAAAGACGGACGAGUUUUGGCUAUAAAAUUAGGGUUUGGGAAACAAGAGUCAUUGUGCUUACAGAGGCGGGUUCGGCUUAGGUCCCCCUCUUUCCCCAAAUUUCCUCCUUAGUCCUCUAUUUUUUCGGGUUUUAGAUCUAAUGGCUUCUGCAGAGAUCGAGUACCGAUGCUUCGUCGGAGGGCUCGCUUGGGCCACCGACGACCAGUCCCUCGAGAGGGCUUUCAGUCAAUUUGGCGAGAUUCUUGAAUCGAAGGUCUGUUUUAGGCCGUCGCAGAGAUCGGAUCUGACUCGAUUCGGCUUUGUUGAUCCCUGAUCUGAUCUGUUUGUGUUACUCUGAUUCCGUACUUUGUUGAUCUGUGUUCUGUGUUAACUAUCUGUGAUUCUUUUACUAAUCCCCUGAAACGGUACGUUCCAUCUUCAUCUUGUGAUGAAAGACGAAGAUCGAUCGAUUUUGAGUUUCAGAUUUAUGUUUUUCAUGUGUAUAUGAGGAAUUUGUGGUAGAUCUGACCUUAUUGGCUUGUUCUGUGUGUUUGGAUUACAGAUCAUCAAUGAUCGUGAGACUGGGAGGUCCAGGGGCUUCGGAUUCGUUACGUUCAGUAGCGAGCAGUCGAUGAGGGACGCCAUCGAGGGGAUGAACGGCCAGAAUCUUGAUGGUCGUAACAUAACCGUAAACGAAGCUCAGUCCCGUGGAAGCGGCGGCGGAGGCGGCGGUGGUGGUGGCGGAGGCGGCUACCGAGGGGGUGGUGGUUACGGAGGAGGUGGUCGCCGUGAAGGUGGAUACAGCCGUGGUGGCGGCGGAGGUUACGGAGGCGGCGGCGGCGGUUAUGGCGGUGGUAGUCGCGACCGUGGUUACGGAGACGGUGGAUCUCGCUACUCUAGGAGUGGUGGUGCUUCGGAUGGCAACUGGAGGAACUAGAUUUAGAGUUUGGCGAUGGGUGUUUUAGUUUAAUGGUUCUGUUCUGAUGUUCUGGUUAUGUUUUUUUGCUGCUGUUUGGUUCUCUCUUUUUGAUCGCUGGGUUUGAUAUGAUUGUCAGGUUACUGCUUUAAAAAAAUCGGAAGUUCCAAAUUGAAAUGAAUGAUGAAAGAAAAAAUUGGAUUUUGGAAUACCUAAUCUCAAAUCGUAAUAUAUGCCAUUGCCAAUGAGAUAUAUUUACCAGUUAUCUUAGAUGCAGUUAAUUUUGUUUUGCUGGAGAACUCGAUCCCAUUUCUGGUGUGUCGCUGAUUCUAUUUUAAGAGAGUUAAUGCUUGGCCUUUGAUGAUUGGUGAUAAAAGUCUCUUUGAGGAGUUUGAAUUUUAUUUUUUGGACUUGAAUGCGUUUAAGAUUUAUACAGUCAUUUUUUAUAAAAACAAGUUCGGAAAAAAUUGAAAUUAUUUAAAUGGUCAGAGUUCCCCUGUUUUUAUGAUUUAUCACCUUAAAUCAUAAAUUACUAAUGAAAAUGUGCAGAGUCGGAGAUAUAUUUGAUAUAAAUUAGUAAACUUGUGAUGAAAACCUAAUUUUGGAAUUGUAAAAUAAAUACAGUCAAGAAGGGAAGAGGGGAUGAAAAAUAAUAAUUAAAUUUAAAAUUGAUAAAUUAUUUUUAUAUAUUGUAAUUUUAAUUUUAAAAUAUAAGAAAUAUUAAUAUAUUUAAAUCUUUUAUAUCACUUUUUACGUGAAAUCAUCAAAAUAUCUUUUUUGAACUUCUACAUAAUCAUCAUCAUAAGCCUUCUAUUUUCAUUUCCAUUUUUUUUCCUUUGUUUUUUUACCUUAUAAUUAAACAACCAAAAAAAAUUUAGAGAAAAAGAGAAAAGAAAAUGCAUUGAAGGGAGGAAAAAAAAAGGAAUUAACUUCAUUCCCGACCUUUCAUAUCAAAGAAAAAAAAAGAGCAUAAAGAUUUAUUUUUUGUUUUUAAAAAUAGAAAAUAUAUUUUUUUUUUCAAAAAAUAUUUUUAAAUUAUUUUAUAUUAUUUUCAUUUAUUUGUUUAAAAAGAAAUAAUUAUAAAAAUAUUUUAGGUUUUUAAUUAGAUUUUUGUUUCUUAAUUAAAGAAUUUUUUUCAAAAUUGUUAUAAAAACUAUUUUUAAAAACAGCAAAUUCAUUAUAUAUAUUCUUUUACUUUUCAUUUAUCAUUUUUAUUUUCCUUUCCCUUCACUUAAAAUAAUAAGGAAAUUGAAAGAAAAAAAUGGAAGAAGAAAUAGAGUAGGGUCUUAGGUGGAUAAGUGAGAAAAGGUUGAAAAGGAUAUUUUUAUUUAAAAUUAUGGGUUUUAGGUGGAUAAGUGAGAAAAGUUGAAAAGGAUGGUAUUUUUAUUUAUUUAUUUUUUUGUAUUUAAAAUUAUUUAUAAAAAAAUGGAUGGACAUGAGGAGAGAUUGGAUAAAUGUAUUUAAUAAUAUUUUAACUCAUUCAAAUAUUUGUGCAAAGUUUAAAAUAUUCCCAAAAGAAAAUGUUCUUGUGUAAAAUGGGUAUAAAAAAUUCGAUGAUAGGUAUUUUUAAUCUAAAAUGUACUAAAACACCUUUAUUAUUUUGUAAAUAAAAAAAAGUUCUGAUGUGAAAUGAGUAUAAAAAUUUGAGGGGUAUUUUUGUAAAAAAAAAGUUACUUUUCUUGUUUUAAAAAACAUGAAGGUUAUUUUAUAAAUUAGUGACAAAUUUUUUACCCUUUUAAUAAAGUGAAAUAAUAUAUACAUAUCCAUAUACCUAAUCACUUUUCAUAGUAUGAUUCUUUGGGAAAAAAAAAAAAAAACACUUUUAGUGAAAGUCCAAGGCAUCCUUAAAGUUCAAUACAACCAUAUUCCUCAAUUUAUUUUCUUUGGAUAUCUCCAAAAUCCUAACAAAUUUUUGAAAAAAGUUGUGAUUUUUGAACAAUAGACAAAUAAACAAUAAUCUCCAAUCAUGCUACCACUUUUUUUGCUUUUUAAGGUGAGAGACUAUAACUUGGUACACUCUUUUAAGGGUGUUCAAGAGUGUAUUAAUGAACAUCCUUAAAAGCAUCCAAUACCAUACCAAACAUUCCCUAAGUGAUGAAUUUAGCAUUAUACAUUAAACCUUUGGACACCCUUAAAUAUGUUAAAUGAAUACAUAUUUAAUGGCUCUUUAAUUAAAUAACCUUUUAUUUUUGUUAUUGUAUCUUAUUUUUUAAGAAAAUUUAGAUUUAAAAUUUUCUUAUUAAUUUUAAAGCCAAAUCAAAAUUUUGUAACAAACACACUAUUUAUGUAAAAUGAAAAUAAAUAACAUUAAAAACAUUAAAUUUAUAUUUCAAAAGCGAAUUUAUUAAAAAUUAGGAUUUGAUACUCUUUCCCAAAUUAAAAAAAUUAAUAAAUUGAUCCCAAUAAUAGAGCAGAUAUUUCAAUUAUAAAUCUAUAAAUGCAAAUAUAAGCUACAUUAAAACAAGUUUUAACUUAGAAUUUUUUUUAACAAUCAAACAUAAUUUAAAAUCCUAAUUAUUAUUCAAUUAUUAAUUUCUAAUUAAUUCUAGAAUUAAUCAUUAUGAAUUUAUUAUGGUAAUAAUUCCAAGUAUUUUAAAACAUUUGAGACUAUGUUUAAUUAUUAUUAUUUUUUCAAAUUAUGAGUUUUUGAUUUAAAAUAAAAAAGAAAUGUAAUAGUUAAUUUUAUAAAUAUUUUUAAAAUAUAAAAUAAAUAAAUUUAAUACUUGAUGGUAUUUUAACAUUAAUAAAGACAAAUAACUUAAGACUUAACAAAAUGAAAAAAAAAUAAAAUCUAAAUAUGAUAUUCAACUCUAAUUUAUAUUUAAGUUGAUUUUAAGUCAAUUCAUGAUUUUUGGUCAAUUUUAAGAGCCGAUUUUGUAGUACUUUUUAAAAGUGUUUCUAGUCCUAAAAACAGUUAAAAACAUUUUUAAGACAAAAAAUAGGUGUUUGACAAUAUUUUGAAAAAUACUUCUGAAAAUCUAAAAAACAUUUGAAUUUUUUUUAAAGCACUUGAGAGGAAAAAAACACUUCAAAAUUACUAUUCUCCAUUUCCUCAUCUUCCGCUUUCUUCUCACUCUCCUUUUCCUCUUUCACUUUUCUUUCAUAAAUAUAUAUAUAUAUAUUUAGUUUUUUUAAUAAUAUAAAUAUUUAUAUAUUUUUUUGUAAUAAAUAUCAUUUUUAAUAAUUUAUUAUUAUUAAAAACGUUUUUACAUUUAUGCAAUAUAUCAUUAAAAAAUAUUAUUAGAACCUUCUAGAUUUUCGUAAAAAAGUAGAAGUAUUAUACAAGAAAACACUUCGGUAAAACCGCUUGAAGCAAUGUGAAACGAGCCAUUAAUAAUCUAUACCAUAUAAUGAAAGUUGUGAUGCAAGUUUGUCGUCACUGUUUCACCAUCCUUAUUUGUUCAAUUAUUUAUGAUACUACCAUGGACCAUGUCCACCAGACCGAGUCUUCUCUCUAAAGAUUCCUUUCAUAUACAAAACACUACCAUAUCACGGGCAGAUAUUUUUGUUUUAGGCGGCAGACAAUUAAGACUUUUUUUUUCCAAGACAGUUCCAUGUUAUGAAGGGACAUAAAAAUCAAAGGAGACUUGCAAAGGAAAAGUGGAUUAUUUAUGUAUUUUUGGAUAAUUUAUAUAAUAAUUUUUAAAAAUAAUAAAAGAUUAAUUAGAUAAUUUAUACAAUAAUUUUUAAAAAUAAUAAAAGAAUUAAUCUUUUAUUAUAAAAAAAUAGCCUACUAUUUGAACUUAUUUUUUGCAAGCACAAAACAAACAAAUUGUUUUCGAAAUCAUUUUUUUUUUUUGACAAUAAUAAACUAUUUUUGAAAAUUAAAUUAAAUUACGAUUUUAAAUAUUAGUUUCUUUCAAAGCGAUGAAUGAAAUUGACAUGUAUAAAAUACUUGAUAUAUAUAUAUAUAUUUUUAUACAACUAGCUAAUGUAGUUUACAUGAUAUCUUAUUUUCUCUCAAAAAAAAAUGAAUACGAUUUUAACUAUUAACAUAAUCGUCACAUAAAUAUAACUAUUUUAAAAUAAAAUAUAUUCAAAUACAAUCAUAAAAUAGACAUAAUUUUUUUAAUAUAUAAUUUUUAUGACAUAAUUAAAAUUGAAUUUAAAUAUAAAAAAAUACGUUAUUAGCUAGUAGUUCACAUGCCUUGCACAUGAACCCAACUUAGUAAUAUAUAAAAGAAGGAAAACAUUAGUAAUGGAGGAAAAGAUGAUGGAAAAUUUGAAAAAUAGUGAUUGAAUUUUAUGAAAAUAUUGAAAUUAUUGGAUAAAAAUUGCUAGUGAGACAAAAAUUAAUUAAAAUUAAAAAAUAGUUAAGAAAUGACAAAAUAAGUAAUAUUAUAUGAAAUUGAAGCUAUUUUACUUAUAUAUAUAUAUAUUUAGAUUAAAAAAAAUUAAGAGAGCUAGGAAACCUAUCUUUAUAAACUUGAUCAUUUUUAGUUUCUAUAUCUUGUAACUUUAGUUUCAUAAUAUAAUAAAAAAAACCUAAUUACCGAAUCCUCGAGUUGACAAAAUAAUUCUAUUGCUUUCUAUAGAUUAGGGCAAAUAUGCUCCAAUUCCUCUCACAAGUUAAAGAUGGUGUAGGUUGUGACAGAAUCCAAACGACUAGCUUUCUCAACAUAGAGCUUUAUUCCCAUAUAUGAACCAUUAUGCAACUACAAACAAAGAAAAAAAAAUGAAUACUCAAAUUAAUAUAUUAUGAUAAUGAAAGUGUUUUGAUGUUAACAUUCAACUUUUGUUAUCUACACCAAAUUCUCAUUAUGAAUCAUUUUUGUCGUAGAAAUGAUUGUAGCUAGAUCAUUUAAUCCUUUCCUUGCACCUUGAAAGAGUAUAAGUUACAUGUUUACCAUAACAAUAAACAUUUAGUGAACUUUCAAAUAUAAUAAAAAAGGAAUUUGUAAUUUAAAUGAUUUGAAAUAUAGGACCAUCAAAGUUACCUUAUUUCCAAAUUAAUAAGGCCUUUAGUAGUAGGGUCUAAUAUGGCAAAUAUGGUUGUACAAUGCCAAUUAGAUUGGGAUUACUACGAACACUCUCCUUAUAUUCAAAUCUUAGAUUGAGGUAGUAUGCUACAAAAUUGAAAUAUAAUUAGCAGAAAUUUAAUAUUAUUUUAAACUUACAAAUAUCAAGAUUAAUAAUUAUUAAUAAGUGAAUGAUCGAGUGUUUUAUCUCAUUAGUUAUUGAAGAUGUUUUGAACUCAAGUCGUGUUGUUUAUAUGUUUGAGGUCCUCUUUCAUAAGACAAACUAACUUGUAUACAAAGGAUAUUAUGGGAAUGACUUGAAUUCAUGAUUCAAAUAACAACAUAUAAUGGGUCAUAAAUUGUCAUUACAAUUGGUCAAUUAUCACUUAAUCCCAAAGAGGGUGGUUAAACAUUUUUUUUCCACUUCUCUUUAAUUGUUGUAUGACUUAGUUUAUUAUGUGUCAAUUCAUCACUCAUGAACAAUAUCUUUAAAUCGACCAUCUUUUUAAAAAUAUUAUCUAAUGCUAUGUGGUUACCGACAAAUCUUAUUGUCUUAAGUUAGGAUAUAUCUUUACAACAUAUUUUUUCAUUUAAAUGAGUAACCAAUCAUGAUUGCAGAUAAAGUUAAUCAUCUUUGUAGUCAUGCUUGUCAUAUCUACAACAUUUUGUCAUUUUCUAAUGUCUUCAAAAAUUAAAAUGAUACAAUGUAUCUCUACAUCAACUUCUUCUCAACCUUAAUUAAUGUUGAACUAUUGUGACAAUCUAAACCACAUUUGUUGAGCCAACAUAUUUCACAACAUCUUUCAACAAAAUAUAUAUAUAUAUAUAUUUUGGUCCUUGAUUUAGUUGGAUGCAUCAAUCAAUUUGAGAAAGAAUGUGAUACUUUUGGAAUACACCAUGAAAUUAAUGAUGUUUAACCUUGUGGACCCUAUCCAUCCAUUGCACGUUAUGACACAUCUAUAAGUCUUUCAUUUGUUUCUUCGUGUAUUUAUGUAAGCUUGCAUUUCUUUGUAAUUAAUCUCUAAAUACUUUUUUUUUUUAAUCUCAUAAGGAGUUGAUAAACUCAUAUGUGCAAUAAUGAUAUGCAACUACAUGGUCUCUUUGAUAAAAGCUCAUUUGAAUACAUCUUUAAUACUUUUUUGUCUCGCACUAGAUGAUCUGUAGCAUAAUGGUGGAAUUUAUAAUAUUGGAUCUGAGAUUCUUAACACUUUGUGUUCAUAAAAUAUACGAUGGUGCAUCACUAGGACAGCCUCUACCUAAACACUGCACUUGCUUCUAAUGAAGGCAUGCUAUUGUUGUCUUUCCUAUUAAAUAGCCUUGAAUGCUUACACUACAGCUUGAUAGGCCUCUAACAAGUUAAGGUGCAUAUCAAUAGAGUAUAUGUAGAUAUUUGCCUUUGAUUUUUCUCCAUUGUCCCACGCAAUUCAAUUUGAAUUUCCAUUCAUAUGUUCAAUUGUUUUUUGCUUUUACCUUAACCUUUUACAUUAUUAGCACCUUCAUCUCUUUCUUGACUUCAAGAGUUGCAUUUGGACAUUUUUUAUGUCCAAAAAUGGGUGUGACAUCCCACAUCGGAUAUGGGAGAAAGUUCCUGACACUAUAUAUGUAAAGAUUCCUCUUAACCAAGUAGACGCAUUUUAAAGCCGUGAGGACCCUUUUGACCCAAAGCGAAUAAUAUCUACAUGAUUGAGUACGAGUCGUUACAAUGGGUUUCUACGUGAUAGAUGAUACUUAAAUAUAAUAAUACUUCCACUUUUAAUAGACAAAUUUAAACCAAAAUAGCCUUUAUAAAACAUUUCUGACCAUUGGAUUGUAUCCAAAUUCAAACCAGGUCAUUGGCCAAAAAAAAAAAAAAAACAACUAUAAAUAGCCAACAUUAGGCUAUUUAUAGUUUCGAGGCAAAUUGCCCUCCGCCCAACCCCUCAACUUAACCUAAAGAUUCGAGGAUACAACCCAAUAAAUGAAAGCGGCUGGGCCCAAAAGACAUCGUUGCGUCUAAACUUUGGACUGGACUUGUUGGAUGCUGUGAGGCCCAGUACAACACAGCCCAAUUGAAAGCCCAAACAGUAUUUUAAAGGACCUCUCUUUCGGCAAAAAGGGAAAAGUGCAAGAAGGGCUUAAAGAAAAUGGAAAAAAGAAAAAGAAAAGAUAGCUAUGUAAAAGUUGUGGUAAAGCCGUAAAGGAUGUUGGUUUCGUAAGGGUCGGUUUUGAAAAGAUGUUUUUAAGAAUAAUUUAAAGGUGUUUUCAAAUGUUUUUUAAAGUAUUUUGAAAAAUAAUUUAAUAUUUUUUUUAAACACUCCGCCCUUUCGUCUAGAAAAGCACAAUCGAAUCGUUCUCAUGGUGGGCAUUGGAGACAUAAAAUUAAUGAAUAGCAGGCUCAUGCAAGCUUUAAUAUUCAGUAUAAAACCCCACUCCUUGUCAUAGGCUCUGAAAGGAGCUUUAUGUUGCUAGUCAUUUACUAUCAUUAUUAUUCUUGAGUCAGCGACCAACCUUAAGACUUUAGGCCAUCCAUAAUUCAAGCAGUAAAUUAUGUGUCUCAUGAUGCUUCGCAUUCAAGAAAGCAAUUCAGUUUCAAGUUUGAUUGAAAGAUAAAUGGGUGGUAACCAAGCAAUUGUUUUCACGUGAUUUAUGAUAUAUAUGUUCCUGUGGAAUAACAGUAGAACUACUCUAAAAGUCCGAUUUUUACUAUGUAGAUAUUGUCCGUUUUAAACCCAAUAGAUUUUUACAACUUUAAAAUGUAUUAACACAUUAAUGUCAUAUUGCAAAUGUAGUGAGCUUUUCUUAACUGUGUAAAUACAUUUUAAAGCUACAAAGGUUCAUUGAAUUUAAAACGAACAAUAUUUACAUGGAAAAAAAUGAUUUGUUACGAUUAUAUUUCAUAAUCAAUUGGAAAAUUAGGUUCAUGUGUUCAUAAAAUCCUGGGUUACCUUUUCUGUUUGAUAUGAUGGAAGCUUACACUAUUGUUCCUUUGUUCAUGGCCAUGAGAAAUAACCUGGGGAACCGCUUCUUGUUCCAGUCUGGUCCAGUGUCUUUCUCUAGUAUCACUCCUGCAAUAGCAUUCCCAUAAUCCAGAUUUUCAGGGCAGCACAAGUUUGAAAAGGACAAAAGAGAAUCAUCGGCAUUUGGAUGAGGAACUGAAACAAGAUCUCAAACAAUAUUGAUAUGGAGCCAUUCAGUUGAGUGACUAGCAUGCAUACUCGGCAAAGAAUGCAAUUCUCAAAUGUCAAAUGUUUGGUUCAAAUAUUUGAAUCAUCAAAAUCAAAAGGUAUCAUUGAGUACAGCAUAAGUUCUAUUUUAGCUCUCUUACCAACAGCCAUGCAAUGUUACCAGCCGACCCUGUGGCCACUGCCUAGUCAUAGAAAAUGCUAUGUGUUGUGAUUGAAGUUCAUAUUUCGAGUCUAAAGAGCCUUAUCAUUUCAUGUAAAUCUGUGUGUUCUUGUGAUGCGAUCCACUCGAAAUUCUUCACCCUCGUUGUACUAGAUACUGAGUCCACUGCCAAUCAUGCAUCUAAGAUACUUUUAUCUUUGUUCUUGGCGGUGGUGGGAGGAGUGGUGGGGAGGUUAAGAUAUUAGGACCUUUACAAACUCAAAUAUCCUUUGUCACAACCUAGGCUUAAGAUGGUUAGUGCAGGCUUUUUUUGCACAUACAAAUUAUCAAGUAUAAUACAACUUUAUAGUCUCCUACAGGGUAGGAUUUCUUCAAAUCUCAGUUCCAAGAAAAUAUGAAAGUACAGAAGAUGACCACAGCACAAAGGGUAGAUCUCCACAUCAUUUCAUAAUGGUCUAUCUUUCUAAUCCCUGAACUCCAUGGAAAAUCCCCAAACUAAACCCAAAUGAAAAGCAGGAGAAAAACUUUUUGAGUGAUGAAAAGGCUGUAAUUUACUAGUAAAGUUUUCGGCAUAUGAUCUUCAUUUAGCCAUCACAACCAUCAAUAAUCUAACCCUGAUGUUCAGCCAUAAAAGAUACUCUUGUUCUCGUAUCAAUUAUUCCCUCCAUGGAAUGAUGACGUUACAAGACUGUAGGGUGAGAAAGAAACCAAAUGCAGCAAAAGCAAUUUUUUCAAGACCAAAUGAUCCAUAUAUCCUCUCAUGAACAUAACUAAAAAUCAUUAAUGAUAAAAGGAAAAGAAAAAGUUUCAAAUGCUAUUGAGAAAUAUGGUUAAGGUACUGUGGUGCUAAGAUAUUCCAUUGAUGUACUUUAGUAAAGGCAGAUUGUACACAGGAGGAUAAUCAGUAGCUAAAAAUUCAUGAGGACAAACUAGAGACAAAUGGCAUGUUAAAGAACACUAUUCCAUCCAUGAAAGUGUAACACAAAAAAAAAAAAAAAGGGAAAAUGCACCAAGGAGACAAAAAGCAAAAUCAUUGACUUUGGACUACCCUUUUAAGAGAAUGACAAUUCAAGAUCAGCAUGAGGAUAGGAGAAUCCAUGCCCCACAAUAUCUUGCUGUGGUCUCCUUGACUCUUCCAACACUAGUUUUUGCAUAGUGAUGUUUGUAUGUGGCNNNNNNNNNNNNNNNNNNNNNNNNNNNNNNNNNNNNNNNNNNNNNNNNNNNNNNNNNNNNNNNNNNNNNNNNNNNNNNNNNNNNNNNNNNNNNNNNNNNNUGGCAGUCUAAUUACAGUUUUGAAAUUGAAAGGGUUUCUGUCCUCAAACCCAGUCAAUUCUAGUCCAAUACUCGUGGCAUGAUCUUUUGACAAGUUGAUAACAAGUUCAUUGCCACACCCAAAGUGAAAGAAAUUAUCUGUUACAUUUUUUUUCUUUUCCUUUUUGCUUGGCUCUAGUCCUAUGUGGAGCACCAUAUCUUAUCCAACUUCUACUAGCCACAUACAUAUUAUCAACUUAAAGCCUUUCUAUAUGGCUUCAGGCUUACCUCUUAGAAUCACACACACACACACACACACACCAACAAAUGCCUAUCAUACAAGUAGGAGAGUUGUACAAUUCUCAGUCACACAGAAGCAUACCACUUAGCAUAAUUCUCCUCAACUUGAAAUUUUUCACAAAAUCCUUUCCCCUUUCCAAGACCCAAGUUUUUUAACUCAAUAAAACCCAAAGUCCAACUACUUGGGUGGUCUCACAAAUCUCCUUUUCUAUAAUUCAGUUCUUUCUGGAGUCAUGUCCUCCAUUAAAGCUAAGGUUACCAUGUUUGUCACAGCUAAUUCCACUAAUUAAAAUUUCCCAAAUGUUUGAAGAUUCCCUUUAAAAUAUAUCUUUUUGCUUUUGUAUACCAAGGUGGGGCCAGUGCCUAGGCACAAUCAUUGGACUUUUUUCCCCUCCCUAAAAAAAGUUGAAGAUUCCUAGUUUUCUGUCCUGUAACAAAUAAUAAAGUUUUAAUCUUGAUGAAGCCUGAAGGCAUAUAUUACUCUCUGCAUCAACCCAUUGAGACACAAAGAAAUCAUUAAGCACAGUUAUAAUUCUGGAAUGAUUAGAGUGCAGUGUAACCCAACUUCUUCAACUUGGAAGGAAGGACCACUGGCAGAAGAUGAAUAGUCCUCAUACUUAACACACAUUCAUAGAAGAAUCCACAGAUAUUACUUUCAAGAGGAGAUAGAGGUUGGAUGAUAAGGAUUCUUAAUAUCAUUGGGAAGGUGCAUCUCAAGGCAUCACUCUUUUCGUACAGAUUCCUAGAAAGUUGCAUAAGUAAUUUUCAACCAAUGAUCACCGCCAGCCCCACUACAUGUGGUCGGUAUCCCAUGACCAGGACUUGUGCAACUUGACAAUUGGGGCCACAUUCAUUUACAAUAUAUCAAAUCCUAAAAAGUUUCACUAGCAGUAAGAAAAUUGCUUUCUCAUUAGGAACAUUCAUUUGGCAAUGGGAAUCCAAAAUUGUAAGGAAGAAAUUGACAAAUGACAUGAAAAUUCCUUAGGCCAAGUUGUUUCACCAUGUACUGAUAAAAUCAGUGAAGGAUUGGAACAGAUAGCUAUACUAUUACUAAAACAUAGCCUAUAAUUUUUCAAGAUACUAAGAUUUACAUAUUUCUUUAGUCUUUUCGUCUCCAAAAGUUGCUAGUAGGUUAAAAAUGCAACAUAUCAACUUCUUUGGCAACUUAAAGGGGACACAAUAACAUUAUCAAGACUUUGAAGGUGCAGUAUAUACCCCAUAUCUCAAUUAUGGAAGCUUCCUGCCCCGUUCAUUUUAUUCCUUUUAACUCAGAUUUGAGAGUUGUUUCCAUGGAUUCUAGUAGUGAAUAGACUAAACCGUAGCCUACUUGCAUGAUUUUACACACUAUGGGCCCAUAGGUUGGGGCUACUCUAGAGUCUAGACAACUUGCAGCCCAAAGCUAUAUGGUAUCAUUCAACCGACCUCUGAAAUCUGACAGUUUUCCAUACAGAUAUUUAGUUUCCUGGAAACCUAAUCAGGCAACAUGUGGUAUUUAUAAGCCUUGUGGGAAUUAAGCAGAAAAAAUUCAACUAGCAAAAUGUUAAAAUGUAAAUACUAAUAGUAGUGUUCAACAUAUACUAGCAUUAAACCAGAUUUACAUUAAUAUGAAUAAAUUCUUCGAAGGAAAGGAGUUUCUGCAAUCUGCAGGUUUCAAAUACAAUAAAUAAUGCAAUGACAGCAUGUAGGAAACUCUACUUUCAAUCAAAUAACCUAAUAAUCUCAAAGAAAUCAAUAAGAAAAGUCUCUUCAAAUGCUAGGAUGCUACUAGAGCCUACAAUAUUGUAAACUGAGAUAAUUCUCUUAAAGAGGAUAACAUUAGGCACCAUAAUUAGGAAGAGACAGAGAAAUGGACUGGUCAAUAGAUUGAAAACACAUUAAUCUUUUGAUAUAAUCUGGUCUAAAAUGGGAUUGCAUUAAUGUCUCUGUGGUUAAACAUGGAGGAAAGCAACUCGACCAGGCCAAAAGUACUUCUUGCAUUUGGCCCCAGUAAAAGAUUCUCUGAAAUUAUUACAUUUUGGCUGCCCAUGACUGACCUGAUAUAGUUUGGGAUACGAAUUGUAGAUCUUCAUUAUCAACAAAUAUACACGUAAGACUGAUAUAUGAGACAACUGGGCUCAAACAAUUUGUUCACCCAAGAAAAGUAAAACUUCAAAUCACUUUUCUUUUAAGGGAGGGAUAACCAAAAAUAGCAGUAGCAAGCAAUGAAAUAUACCCCAUAACGAGUUAAAAAUCAAAUAAAAGGUGGCUAACCUUAUGAACCAAGUGAAACCAGCCACCAUAGUGAAGUAACAGCUAACAACAAAGCAAACAAAUCAUUUCUGGAUAUCCUUGCUAUAUAUAGUGGUCUUUUAUCUCCUAUCUCUCAAUAGAUUCUUUGAAUGUGUUUAACACAAGAAAGUAUCAAAUCCUUUCUAGUUAUCAUAAAAUGGCUUAUUCCCCACUGUUGUUUAGUACACACUUUUCAAAUUUGCCUUUGCCUUAUCUGCAAGGCCUAGAACCAUAGUUGCUCUAAAUAUUAUGAUGAUAUGAUUAAUGAUUAAUCAUAUAGUGGGCCAUGAAUUCCACAUUACCUUUCUAAUUUAUUUAUCAAUCAAGGAAAACAUGGUGUUGUUUUCAUUUAUAUUGAUGUUUCCUUGAUUGAUAAGACACAGCCAACAGAACAAUGAUAACAAAGUGUCUGUAAUAUGAUGGGCUAAGGCAAAAGCUUAGCAUCCAUCAAAUCUGGUUCUUCAUUUCCUAAUUAGCAUUCAAGAUUGAUUAGAGGGCUCCCAUUCAACUUUUGACGAUAUCAAACC